rnacentral:rRNA from 1 species
AACGAACGCUGGCGGCAUGCCUAACACAUGCAAGUCGAACGAGACCUUCGGGUCUAGUGGCGCACGGGUGCGUAACGCGUGGGAACCUGCCCUUAGGUUCGGAAUAACUCCCCGAAAGGGGUGCUAAUACCGGAUAAUGUCUUCGGACCAAAGAUUUAUCGCCUUUGGAUGGGCCCGCGUUGGAUUAGCUAGUUGGUAGGGUAAAAGCCUACCAAGGCGACGAUCCAUAGCUGGUCUGAGAGGAUGAUCAGCCCCACUGGGACUGAGACACGGCCCAGACUCCUACGGGAGGCAGCAGUGGGGAAUAUUGGACAAUGGGCGAAAGCCUGAUCCAGCAAUACCGCGUGAGUGAUGAAGGCCUUAGGGUUGUAAAGCUCUUUUACCCGGGAUGAUAAUGACAGUACCGGGAGAAUAAGCUCCGGCUAACUCCGUG